rnacentral:rRNA from 1 species
AGUGAACGCUGGCGGUAGGCCUAACACAUGCAAGUCGAACGGCAGCACAGUAAGAGCUUGCUCUUACGGGUGGCGAGUGGCGGACGGGUGAGGAAUACAUCGGAAUCUACUUUUUCGUGGGGGAUAACGUAGGGAAACUUACGCUAAUACCGCAUACGACCUACGGGUGAAAGCAGGGGAUCUUCGUACCUUGCGCGAUUGAAUGAGCCGAUGUCGGAUUAGCUAGUUGGCGGGGUAAAGGCCCACCAAGGCGACGAUCCGUAGCUGGUCUGAGAGGAUGAUCAGCCACACUGGAACUGAGACACGGUCCAGACUCCUACGGGAGGCAGCAGUGGGGAAUAUUGGACAAUGGGCGCAAGCCUGAUCCAGCCAUACCGCGUGGGUGAAGAAGGCCUUCGGGUUGUAAAGCCCUUUUGUUGGGAAAGAAAAGCAGCAGGUUAAUACGCCGCUGUUCUGACGGUACCCAAAGAAUAAGCACCGGCUAACUUCGUG